GGACUCCAGGAUGCUUUACCAUCUUCAGGUUGCGUGCACUGAAGAAGAAGGGAGGCCAAGCCCAGUUGAAGGCCAGCUGAGCCCCAUAGAGGCCAAGCGGGAUGAUAGCUUUGCUGCUGCAGCCGCCCAGGUCAUUCCAUAUCAGUGAUGAACCAGCCGAGGAAACCCCCGACGUGAGGCAGGACAGUAAAACCUACGGUGUAAGCCCACAUCCUUCCUCGGUGACGUGAAGUGGUCUUUUGCCUAUUGCAGCUUAAAAACAGCAAUUGAUCAUCAGUUUGGAAAGACAUCUUUUCUUGCUUUGAUCUUCCGGGCCUUUUCUCUGAUGCCCAUACUCUGCUUUAGUGGAUUGUGCUUCAUUUGUAUUCAGCUUUGCUGCUGCCUUCCCUCUGCCCAGGCCGUGAAGUGGGGGUAAUUAUUUCUACCACGGUUACAUUUUCC
rnacentral:lncRNA from 1 species